CCUACGGGAGGCAGCAGUGAGGAAUAUUGCACAAUGGGGGAAACCCUGAUCCAGCGACGCCGCGUGAGUGAAGACGUAUUUCUGUAUGUUAAGCUCUAUCAGCAGGGAAGAAAAUGACGCUACCUGAUUAAGAAGCCCCGGCUAACUACGUGCCAGCAGCCGCGGUAAUACGUGGGGGGCCAGCGUUAUCCGGAUUUACUGGGUGUAAAGGGGGCGUAGACGGAAGCACAGGUCAGCGGUAAAAUGCCGGGGAUUAACCCCGGACUGCCGUUGAAACUUCUGCGCUAGAGUGGACGAGAGGUAAGCGGAAUGCGUGGUGUAGCGGUGAAAUGCAUAGAUAUUAGGAGGAACACCAAUGGCGAAGGCAGCUUACUGG
rnacentral:rRNA from 1 species